rnacentral:rRNA from 1 species
UAAAAAACCAAUAGCUCCGCAAGGGGUUUCAACUUGGUGAUUCAUAAUAACUUUUCGGAUCGCAUGGUCUCGUACCGGCGACGUAUCAUUCAAAUUUCUGCCCUAUCAACACUCGAUGGUAGGAUAGAGGCCUACCAUGGUUUUAACGGGUAACGGGGAAUUAGGGUUCGAUUCCGGAGAGGGAGCCUGAGAAACGGCUACCACAUCCAAGGAAGGCAGCAGGCGCGCAAAUUACCCAGUCCCAAUACGGGGAGGUAGUGACAAUAAAUAACAAUAUGGGGCCCUCACGGGUUUCGUAAUUGGAAUGAGUACAAUUUAAAUCUCUUAACGAGGAACAAUUGGAGGGCAAGUCUGGUGCCAGCAGCCGCGGUAAUUCCAGCUCCAAUAGCGUAUAUUAAAGUUGUUGCAGUUAAAAAGCUCGUAGUUGAAUUUCGGAAUCUAUCCGUUGGUCGGGCUUCACUGUCCGUACUGGUGUGAUGGGUUCUUACCUUCUGAAUAACCAGCAUGCCAUUCAUUUGGUGCGCUGGGGAAGCAGGACUAUUGGACCUUGAAAAAAUU